AGCCCAGCGCUUUCAGAGCACGUCCUUAGACCACCAUCUAUACUGGUGCAAGUUCUUAAGCCAAGGGGAGCCUGCGCCUGGUGUAGUGAGUCAUAGAAACUCUCCAAACGAGAGUGCUGACCUGCUAGGAUGUGCAGAAAACGUAACAGCCCAGCUUUGAUUAAAGAUGACUUCCUUGUUUACUCAAGAAGUUCACCUUUCUAAAAGACAUGAAGAAAUAGUGUCCCAAAGAUUAAUGUUACUUCAGAAAAUGAAAAAUAAAUUCGGAGAUCAAAGCACAGAAAGGGCAUCUCUCCAAGCCACGGAGACUGCUUGUAGAAGGAACCUCCAGCUCUUGCAGGACAUAGAUGUUGCAGAGAAGGCUUUUCAGACCAAGCUUACCCCACAUCCACAGCCGGAGAUGCUUUCUCUUGAGACUCGUUACUGGGCAUCAGUAGAAGAACAUGUCCCCAAAUGGGAACAGUUUCUUUUAGGAAAAGCACUCAUUCAGUAUGUACCAGUUUCAGGAAGGCUCAGGAUGGUUUUGAAAAAUGAGAGCUGGGAAUGGCUACUGAAUUCCGACAGGCUUAUUUGAAGAUUAUCAACCUUGUGAAGACAAAUACCCCUCCCUCAGUGAUAUCUUCCAACUCCUCCUCCCCCUCCUUUCUACUACCAUUAUCUCUAAAACUUGAGAAAAAUAAAACACGUAAACUCGGAAAGCUGUGUGGGUCACAGCCCUCAGCAGAGCUUCGAGUCUCUGGUUCCUCACUGGCUGCCUGAGCACUGGGAAGAAAACAGCGUGGGUUCCUAGCUGUGGAGACAGCUUCUGGUGAGGAGUCUGCACUGCUCCGCAUUCUGAAUCACAAAUGUGGUUUUAUUGUGGUAGGUGAAGGUUCUUCCUUUUGUUUUUUUGUUUUGUUUUGUUUUGUUUUUGUUUCACC
rnacentral:lncRNA from 1 species